UGCCGAGGCUGGAGCGGCGGGGCGGGCCGUGGGAUUUUCCGGGCAUCCUGGGGCUUAGAUGAUACCGGCUCGAAGUGUGGUCUGCUCUGGCUCAGCGAAUGGCGCCUCGGGUGGAGGGGCCGCCCCGGUUUCCUUGGGAACCGCGAGGGAAGGUGGCCCGGGGUCGCGGUGCCGGCCAUCUCCUUAUCUGAGUCUUGCUCCUGGGCUGGAAAUGGAGUCGGGUUCUCGGAGCGCGAGAGCCGCAGGGGCCGGGCCAGCGGGACGGCCCGCGGUUCCUGAUGGCGUCCCAGCCGCUGUGACUUGGGGGCCGGAGCGCCGGCACCUGAGCUCCAGCGCGUCCUUGGGAGACGCUGCGCCCAGGCGCCCUCGGGCCUGUCCUCGGCCGCUGGAAGGCCUGGCGGAGACGCCUCCGCAAAUCCGGUUCUGCAGCCGCGGGCGCCGGCCCUGGUCAGCCCCCGCGUGAGGCCGACAGGCCGCGGAAGGUGCUCGGGGUCCCGGGUCCCACGUCCGUUGGUCCUUGCGUUCGGCAAAUUAAAGGAUUGUGAGAGCCUACACCCAGUAUGGCACCAGACGGUGUGCCCGAAAAAGGAGAUCCAGUGUCUGCCCCCUGUUAUUUGGGUGAACCCCUCGAGCCAAAACCUCCAGUGGCCUCUGUGGACUCUCAGAGAUGUCCUCAGCAUGAACAGUCAGCCGGUCAUCAGUGUCCAGCGAUGCCGCAUCUGUAGAUUCAACCAACCUUGGCUUGAAAAUAUUUUUAAAAAUAAUUGUACUGAA